rnacentral:rRNA from 1 species
AGUUUGAUCAUGGCUCAGAUUGAACGCUGGCGGCAGGCCUAACACAUGCAAGUCGAGCGGAUGAAGAGAGCUUGCUCUCUGAUUCAGCGGCGGACGGGUGAGUAAUGCCUAGGAAUCUGCCUGGUAGUGGGGGACAACGUUUCGAAAGGAACGCUAAUACCGCAUACGUCCUACGGGAGAAAGCAGGGGACCUUCGGGCCUUGCGCUAUCAGAUGAGCCUAGGUCGGAUUAGCUAGUUGGUGAGGUAAUGGCUCACCAAGGCGACGAUCCGUAACUGGUCUGAGAGGAUGAUCAGUCACACUGGAACUGAGACACGGUCCAGACUCCUACGGGAGGCAGCAGUGGGGAAUAUUGGACAAUGGGCGAAAGCCUGAUCCAGCCAUGCCGCGUGUGUGAAGAAGGUCUUCGGAUUGUAAAGCACUUUAAGUUGGGAGGAAGGGCAGUAACUUAAUACGUUGCUGUUUUGACGUUACCGGCAGAAUAAGCACCGGCUAACUCUGUGCCAGCAGCCGCGGUAAUACAGAGGGUGCAAGCGUUAAUCGGAAUUACUGGGCGUAAAGCGCGCGUAGGUGGUUUGUUAAGUUGGAUGUGAAAGCCCCGGGCUCAACCUGGGAACUGCAUUCAAAACUGACAAGCUAGA